rnacentral:rRNA from 1 species
AGUAGUCAUAUGCUUGUCUCAAAGAUUAAGCCAUGCAUGUCUAAGUAUAAGCGACUUGUACUGUGAAACUGCGAAUGGCUCAUUAAAUCAGUUAUGGUUUCUUUGAUGGUACCUUGCUACUUGGAUACCCGUAGUAAUUCUAGAGCUAAUACAUGCAGGAAUUCCCGACUUCGGAAGGGAUGUAUUUAUUAGAUAAGAAACCAUCUCGGGUUCGCCCGGUUGUGUGCUGAGUCAUAAUAACUGCUCGAAUCGCAUGGCUCUACGCCGGCGAUGGUUCAUUCAAAUUUCUGCCCUAUCAGCUUUCGAUGGUAGGAUAGAGGCCUACCAUGGCGUUAACGGGUAACGGAGAAUUAGGGUCCGAUUCCGGAGAGGGAGCCUGAGAAAUGGCUACCACAUCCAAGGAAGGCAGCAGGCGCGUAAAUUGCCCGAAUCCUGACACAGGGAGGUAGUGACAAGUAAUAACAAUACAGGGCUACUUCUAGUCUUGUAAUUGGAAUGAGUACAACUUACAUCUCUUCACGAGGAUCAAUUGGA